CGUAAAGCAGAGCAAAGGCAAAUAACAUUGCGGAGCAAUCUCAGGUGGCCGCAAAGCCAAUCUUGCGAGCGCGGAGAAAGACGCCGUUUGGAGAGGCAACGAACGCAGACGGCAGAGGACGCGGCUCACGACUCCAGCGCGGCUCAGGUCCUGGAGCAGAGAAACAAAGCCGGUGCCUUCUGAUCGACGCCGAGGCUGGCUCCGCACAGCGCGAACGCGGCACGGCUGAAACAGCGGCAAUGAAAAAAUGUGGAGCCGGCUCGGCUUGACACUCGGUGUGCGACGAAGCGAGUUGAACUGGAGGCCUCCUUAUUCAUCCAGGCGGCCGAUGUGCGAACACAACGGACGGGCGACGCGACGGCUCUCCCCACUGCACCGCGUCGGCUUGGAGCGAAAACGCAUCGGAGAGCCGCAAGCACGACCCACGAAAAGCCGCACACGCGAGCGUGGGGGGGCGAUGCAAUGGAGGUGCCAGUGUCUGAAUGUCAAGCAGAGAUCACCGGCCCAAUGCCUGACUAAUGAGCAAAAUAUCUGUUUCCAAUGAUGAAUAGCGAUGGAGAAAAACAGGGACGUCGUUAAUUUUUGAUAACUAUAAUUAAUAGGUCUGUGAUAAAUCCUGAAUAUGGGGUUAACAUUAUCUUUUUUUUUACCUCCCGCACAAGAAUAACAAACUUCAUUAUCUCUUCCGUAAAAAAAAAUACCGUUCGCUCAUCACAAGCAAAGUGUAAAUGUUAACUUUCGCAACUUCAAGUGUAUGGGCUAUGUGACAUUACAAACAAACCGCGAGGCACAGUGCAUCUGAUUACACUGGUCAACAAAAAAAAAACAUUUUUUCUGGCCUGGACUUUUGCAGCUGUCUUAGACUAAUUUCAGGGUGCUGAUUCCAAAUCUGAUCUCAGAUUUACUAUCUCAUAUCUCAUUUUUAUGCUAUCGGCAUACCCCAUUUUCAUUGAUUUUACCCGAAAUUAACUCUGUCACUUAUGAUUGCAAGUUGUUGCGAGUCAGUGACUGCUUUAGUGUUAAAAUAUGGUGCUGUAUUUUUAGGAUAGUGUUUUUAUAAUAUAAUUUUAUGUAGAUAUUUAGAUUUAUUUAAUAUUUUUUUUCUGCAGUUUUGAUUGAAAAUGCUAUUUUUGAUAUCUCAAAAACCUGAAGUGAUAGACAAAAACUGAUGCCAAAUUUGCAAUCAGCACCCCAAAAUUACCUUAAAACCGUUGGAAUACCUUAUGCCAGAAAAGGUGUGUUGACCAGUGGUAUCCACAAUGUAUCAGUGCUCAGUCCUGCGAGCCAAAAGGACAUUUCUACUUUUUUUGGCGAAAAAAAUGUAUCCACAAAAUCAGCCCCACCAUCCCCCUCUCCCCAUCGCCCCCAUUCCCCCCAC